AUUGAACGCUGGCGGCAUGCCUUACACAUGCAAGUCGAACGGCAGCACGGGGGCAACCCUGGUGGCGAGUGGCGAACGGGUGAGUAAUGCAUCGGAACGUGCCCAGUAGUGGGGGAUAGCUCGGCGAAAGCCGGAUUAAUACCGCAUACGACCUACGGGUGAAAGCGGGGGACCGCAAGGCCUCGCGCUAUUGGAGCGGCCGAUGUCAGAUUAGGUUGUUGGUGGGGUAAAAGCCUACCAAGCCGACGAUCUGUAGCUGGUCUGAGAGGACGACCAGCCACACUGGGACUGAGACACGGCCCAGACUCCUACGGGAGGCAGCAGUGGGGAAUUUUGCGCAAUGGGGGAAACCCUGACGCAGCAACGCCGCGUGGGUGAUGAAGGUCUUCGGAUUGUAAAACCCUGUCGUCGGGGACGAAGGUGGGCUCGUGAACAGCGAGUUUGCUUGACGGUACCCGGAGAGGAAGCCCCGGCUAACUCUGUGCCAGCCGCCGCAGUAAAAC
rnacentral:rRNA from 1 species